CAGCCGUAAACUAUGCGCGUUAGGUGUAUCGGUGACCACGAGUUACCGAGGUGCCGAAGGGAAACCGUGAAACGUGCCGCCUGGGAAGUACGGUCGCAAGGCUGAAACUUAAAGGAAUUGGCGGGGGAGCACCACAACAGGUGGAGCCUGCGGUUUAAUUGGACUCAACGCCGGGAAGCUCACCGGAUAGGACAGCAGAAUGAUUGCCGGGCUGAAGACCCUGCAUGACUAGCUGAGAGGAGGUGCAUGGCGUUGACGUCU
rnacentral:rRNA from 1 species